UGAGUUUUUAGAAGAUUCACGUUACCUUGC
rnacentral:piRNA from 1 species